GGGGUGGAUUUAGAAAGUUCAGAGGAGGUCUGAGCCUGCCAUCUUGGGUCCUGUGGUCCCCAGGCGUCCGUUGCGGGAAGUUGUGCUGGUGGCGGAGACCGAGUCACAGGACGCUCCCAGUCCCAUCAUGGGGUUGGUGUCCUUUGAGGAUGUAGCCGUGGACUUCACCUUGGAGGAGUGGCAGGACCUGGACGCUGCUCAGAGGACCCUGUACAGGGAUGUGAUGCUGGAAACCUACAGCAGCCUGGUGUUCCUGGCUUAAUGCCACAUGAAGAUGCUCUUGUAGCCAGUGAAGAGUGAGAAUGUAGAUUCGUCCUGACCGAAGUCUCUUACUCACUCAUGAAAGAACAGUUCCAAAGGGAGCUGUGGUUUCCUGUUAGGGAACUGGGCCAGGGCUCUGGCACCAUUUGCUUAUUAUUUCCAAUUUACAGACCCCUGCAUUGCCAAACCUAAGUUGAUCUUCAAUUUGGAGCGUGGAUUUGGGCCAUGGAGCCUAGCAGAAGCUUCAAGCAGGAGCCUCCCAGGUGUCCAUAACGUGAGUACUCUGAGUGACACCAGCAAGAAAAUUCCUAAGACACGUUUGCGGCAACUCAGAAAAACUAACCAAAAGACACCAAGUGAAGACACGAUUGAAGCAGAACUAAAGGCUCGACAGGAAGUCUCCAAAGGGACAACAUCCCGUCAUAGAAGAGCCCCCGUAAAAUCUUUGUGCCGCAAGUCACAGAGAACCAAGAAUCAGACAUCAUACAAUGAUGGGAAUCUCUAUGAAUGUAAGGACUGCGAGAAAGUUUUCUGUAAUAAUUCAACCCUAAUUAAGCAUUACAGAAGAACUCAUAAUGUGUACAAGCCCUAUGAGUGUGAUGAAUGCAGUAAAAUGUACUAUUGGAAGUCAGACCUCACGUCUCAUCAGAAAACGCACAGACAGAGGAAGAGGAUCUAUGAGUGUAGCGAAUGUGGAAAGGCUUUCUUCCGCAAGUCUCACCUCAAUGCACAUGAAAGAACCCAUUCAGGUGAGAAGCCUUAUGAAUGCACAGAGUGCAGGAAAGCUUUCUAUUACAAGUCUGACCUCACUCGACAUAAGAAGACUCACCUGGGUGAAAAACCUUUUAAAUGUGAAGAGUGCAAGAAAGCUUUUUCUCGAAAGUCCAAACUCGCUAUACAUCAGAAGAAACAUACGGGCGAGAAACCAUAUGAAUGUACAGAAUGCAAGAAGGCUUUCUCCCAUCAGUCACAACUCACUGCACAUCGGAUUGCUCAUUCAUCUGAGAAUCCUUAUGAAUGUAAAGAAUGCAAUAAAUCAUUCCACUGGAAGUGUCAACUCACAGCACAUCAGAAAAGACACACAGGUCAGUAUGGGGAUAGCUGAAUAAAUUAAAACUAACAACACUCCUGCAUAUGUAUCCAAUCAAAUGAGGCAAAUCGUUGCAUAUUUCAACAUAAAGCAUGUAACCGGUAUACCACACAAUCCCACAGGACGAGCAGUUACGAAAAGAGCCAAUUGAUGCUUAUUAAACAAAAAGAGUAAUAAAAACCUCCAGGGACAGACUAAAUAAUGCUUUUUUAAUUCUAAAUUUUCUUACUGUUGGUGAAAAGAGAACAAGAGCAACUGAGAGACACUGGGCUAUUGAAAAAACUGAGGAACUAGGCCAACCAAUAGACUACAAGGAUGUGUUGACAUUAGGAUGGAAACCUGCAAUAGUUUUAAGAUGGGGACAUGGUUAUGUGUUGUGGGAAAUAAUAAAAGAACCAGCGCAUUCCCUCGUCUUGUGCUGGCAACUCAAGCUCU